rnacentral:rRNA from 1 species
GACGAACGCUGGCGGCGUGCUUAACACAUGCAAGUCGAACGAAGAGCGAUGGAAGCUUGCUUCUAUCAAUCUUAGUGGCGAACGGGUGAGUAACGCGUAAUCAACCUGCCCUUCAGAGGGGGACAACAGUUGGAAACGACUGCUAAUACCGCAUACGAUCUAAUCUCGGCAUCGAGGAUGGAUGAAAGGUGGCCUCUACAUGUAAGCUAUCACUGAAGGAGGGGAUUGCGUCUGAUUAGCUAGUUGGAGGGGUAACGGCCCACCAAGGCGAUGAUCAGUAGCCGGUCUGAGAGGAUGAACGGCCACAUUGGGACUGAGACACGGCCCAGACUCCUACGGGAGGCAGCAGUGGGGAAUCUUCCGCAAUAGACGAAAGUCUGACGGAGCAACGCCGCGUGAGUGAUGACGGCCGUCGGGUUGUAAAGCUCUGUUAAUCGGGACGAAAGGCCUUCUUGCGAAUAGUGAGAAGGAUUGACGGUACCGGAAUAGAAAGCCACGGCUAACUACGUG